GAUGAACGCUAGCGGCAGGCCUAACACAUGCAAGUCGAGGGGUAGAACACUUCGGUGUUUGAGACCGGCGCACGGGUGCGUAACGCGUAUGCAAUCUACCUUGUACAGGGGAAUAGCCCAGAGACAUUUGGAUUAAUGCCCCAUAGUAUAUAACCUUCGCAUGUUGGUUAUGUUAACGUUCCAACGGUACAAGAUGAGUAUGCGUCCCAUUAGUUAGUUGGGAAGGUAACGGCUUACCAAGACGAUGAUGGGUAGGGGUCCUGAGAGGGAGAUCCCCCACACUGGUACUGAGACACGGACCAGACUCCUACGGGAAGCAGCAGUGAGGAAUAUUGGUCAAUGGGCGAAAGCCUGAACCAGCCAUGCCGCGUGCAGGAAGACGGUCCUAUGGAUGGUAAACUGCUUUUAUACAGGAAGAAACCCUCCCACGUGGGGGAGAUUGACGGUACUGUAGGAAUAAGGAUCGGCUAACUCCGUGCCAGCCGCCGCCGUAACAC
rnacentral:rRNA from 1 species